UACGUAGGAUGCAAGCGUUGUCCGGAAUCAUUGGGCGUAAAGAGCGUGUAGGCGGCCAGAUAAGUCCGCUGUGAAAUCUCGAGGCUCAACUUCGAGCUGUCGGUGGAAACUGUCUGGCUAGAGUCCGGAAGAGGAGAAUGGAAUUCCUGGUGUAGCGGUGAAAUGCGCAGAUAUCAGGAAGAACACCCGUGGCGAAGGCGGUUCUCUGGGACGGUACUGACGCUGAGACGCGAAAGCGUGGGGAGCGAACAGG
rnacentral:rRNA from 1 species